CACGUAGGGCGCAAGCGUUGUCCGGAAUUAUUGGGCGUAAAGAGCUCGUAGGCGGUCUGUUGCGUCCGCUGUGAAAACCCGGGGCUUAACCCCUGGCUUGCAGUGGAUACGGACAGACUAGAGGUAGGUAGGGGAGAAUGGAAUUCCCGGUGUAGCGGUGAAAUGCGCAGAUAUCGGGAGGAACACCGGUGGCGAAGGCGGCUCUCUGGGACGGUACUGACGCUGAGACGCGAAAGCGUGGGGAGCGAACAGG
rnacentral:rRNA from 1 species